GCCGCCGUAGCUCAGUGGUAGAGCAUCGGAUGCAUUAUUCGAAGGACGCAGGUUCGGUCCCUGCCGGCGGCA
rnacentral:tRNA from 1 species